AACCAGUGAUGUAAUGAUUCUGCCAAAUGAAACCGAAUGAUAUCACUCAUAAAACCGUUCCAUUUUUGUUUCUGAGGUU
ensembl:snoRNA